rnacentral:lncRNA from 1 species
ACCAAUUUUCGUCCAUGAGGUGAUGGAAAAUGACCAUAUUGCCCUUAAAAAUUUAAGUAAAUCCGAAUCUGUCCAUGGUGGACUGUUUUGAUAGGCUAAAGUAAAUCGGCCAUAACUCUUUGCUCCGAUAUCGGAUUUGGGUGAAAUUGGUAUCGUUAGAAAGAUAAUUCAAAGGUAUUUCAUUUAAUAUAAAUUAAUCCACCCAGUUCGUCCUGUACAAGUAGAAUUCAAAGGUAUUUCAUUUCAUAUAAAUUAAGCCACCCAGUUCGUCCUGUACAAGUAGUUAUGAUCGUUUGAAGUUGACCCUAAAAAUCUGUUUUGAGAGGCUGAAGUAAAACGAGUAUAACUCCUUACUCAGAUGUUGGAUUUGGAAGUAACCAAUUGCAUUGGAAAGAAGACGCAGAGAUCUUUCUUUUGAUAUGUGGUAGCUCUCCCAGUUCAUUAUAUUUAGGGAGUUAUGAUCGUUCAAAGUUGACCCAAAAAACUGGCAGGCCUCAGUAGUUUUCCUGCACAUUUACUGUUCACAUCCCGGCCACCGUUUUAAAGUUUCGAACGAGCUCGCUUAUAUCCGAAACUUAUCCGUUUUUGGAAAUCUUUAUAUCGUUGGAAAGCUUAUUCAAUAACCUUCGUAUGGAACCAUCGACGGGAAAAUUCCGGUAUAAAUAAAGUCGAUUCCUAUACACCUAUAAUCAAACUACACACUUGAAACCAUCUCAAAAUAAUCAAUACUCAUACUUAAACUCAUAUAUACCUAACUUAGGAUCAAUACAUAU